CUCAGCAAAAGAAACAAUCUGUGAGGUGAAUAGGGAGCCUACAUCCUGGGAGCAAAUUUUUACCCCUCACACAUCAGAUAGAGCACUAAUCUCUAGGGAAUAUAAAGAACUCAAGAAGCUAAGCACCAAAAAGACAAAUAACUCAAUCAAUAAAUGGGCCAAGGACCUGAAUAGACACUUCUCAGAAGAGGAUACACAAUCAAUCAACAAAUAUAUGAGAAAAUGCUCAUCAUCUCUAGCAAUCAGAGAAAUGCAAAUCAAAACUAGACUGGGAAUUGAUUACAUGUUUCAAUGAAUCAACAGUUGGGGAUGUCUGCCUUGCUUGAGAGUGAAGUCUGCUCAGACCUGCCCUUUUCAUUAAGCCUUACCUCAAGAAGGCUGGUUGGAAACUCUAGGUGUUGUUAUUACUUUUUAAUUCACAAAACUAGAGAACAGACUCAUUAAUUUCAAAAACUAUAUCCACAAUGUAAACUAAACAUUAGCAAAUGUUUCUGAUAGUGGAAAGACACUGCUUCAGCCACACCAAGCUGUG
rnacentral:lncRNA from 1 species